GAGGUAGCCAACACUGUUUAUAUAUAUAUAUAUAUAUAUAUAUAUAUAUAUAUACAUAUAUAUAUAUAUAUAUACACUUUUAUAUAUAUAUAUAUAUAUAUAUAUAUAUAUAUUAAUUGGGUGGCGACUUUGCAUGCGGAUGUCACCCAUAUCAACUUUCGAUGCCAGUUUCUGCGCCUACCAUGGUGACCACGGGUAAUGGGGAAUCAGGAUUCCAUUCCGUACAGGGACCCUGAGAAACGGCUACCACAUGCAAGGAAGGCAGCAGGCACGCAAAUGACCCACUCCCGAAGCGGGAAGGUAG